rnacentral:siRNA from 1 species
ACCAAGUGUCGUUAGCUAAAUUGG